rnacentral:rRNA from 1 species
UACGAGGGGGGCGAGCGUUGUUCGGAAUUAUUGGGCGUAAAGGGUGCGUAGGCGGUUUGGUAAGUCUUAUGUUGAAAUCUACAGGCUCAACUUGAUACGUCUGCAUGAGAAACUGCCGGGCUUGAGUAUGGGAGAGGUGAGUGGAAUUCCUGGUGAGCGGUGAAAUGCGUAGAUAUCAGGAGGAACACCUGUGGCGAAAGCGGCUCACUGGACCACUAACUGACGCUGAUGCACGAAAAGCUAGGGGAGCAAACAGG